CACAUCUUCUUUUUUUUAAAAUUAUGAUUGUCAAUGGUUCAUAAAAAGAGUGCAAGGUCAGAUGAACCAUGACAUACAGAUCUCUACAAAUAUCCCGUAGACCAAAUAAAUGUGUUCCGAUCCUUACAGUGCCUUAGAAACUGACAAAUGUAAAAGUUAUGCUUGGCCAAUUAAUUCGAAACAUAAGGUCAAAAGUAUAUGAACCCUGACCGACAGCCAGACAUAGACAUCUUACUAUCAUUCAAUAUAUCAAAUACAAUUGACGUCAUCAUGGUCAUAUAUGAAACAUGCAGACAGACAUGUACACCAUACACGAAAUACCAUGGCGCUAUAGCAUACAGGUAUAUAUCCAAAAGGCUAGACAACAUAAAACGAGCAUUGCCGAAUGAUGCAUGAUGAUAAUGAGUUCGAUGUUAUUUGAAACCUUGCAGAAGUCGAAAAUGUACACCUCACAAUCAUAACAACAGACAGUUAUCCUAAAGCUUAACGAAUCCGCGAUACGGACUUGACCACAAAAAUGAAUCUUCAUCCAUGAAAUAAGGCAAAUUCGGGGUCAGGUGAAUCCUGUCUGACGGACAUGUAGUUUAUAGGAUCCAAUAUACAAAAUGUGGGUAUCCUAUAACUCGUGAUAAGUGAGUACUUCACAUGACAAUAAAAAGCUUCAUCCUACAAUCAUCCAACUAUUUACAUUUCAUUUUCUGAAAAUAUUAAUACUUUGAAAAGCUUAAACCUAUUGAGGAUGUUGACC
rnacentral:lncRNA from 1 species